rnacentral:rRNA from 1 species
CCUACGGGAGGCAGCAGUGAGGAAUAUUGGUCAAUGGCCGGAAGGCUGAACCAGCCAUGCCGCGUGAAGGUCAGUGCCCUAUGGGCGUUAAACUUCUUUUGUGCGGGAGCAAUAAUGGUCACGUGUGGCCAGACGAGAGUACCGUACGAAUAAGCAUCGGCUAACUCCGUGCCAGCAGCCGCGGUAAUACGGGGGAUGCAAGCGUUAUCCGGAUUUAUUGGGUUUAAAGGGUGCGUAUGCUGUGAGGUAAGUCAGCGGUGAAAUGCCCCCGCUCAACGGGGUGAAGUGCCAUUGAUACUGCCUGGCUGGAAUGCGGAUGCCGUGGGAGGAAUGUGUGGUGUAGCGGUGAAAUGCAUAGAUAUCACACAGAACACCGAUUGCGAAGGCAUCUCACGAAUCCGCGAUUGACGCUGAUGCACGAAAGCGUGGGUAUCAAACAGGAUUAGAUACCCGUGUAGUC